rnacentral:rRNA from 1 species
CCUACGGGUGGCUGCAGCGGGGAAUAUUGCACAAUGGGCGCAAGCCUGAUGCAGCCAUGCCGCGUGUGUGAAGAAGGCCUUCGGGUUGUAAAGCACUUUCAGCGGGGAGGAAGGCGUUAAGGUUAAUAACCUUGUCGAUUGACGUUACCCGCAGAAGAAGCACCGGCUAACUCCGUGCCAGCAGCCGCGGUAAUACGGAGGGUGCAAGCGUUAAUCGGAAUUACUGGGCGUACAGCGCACGCAGGCGGUCUGUCAAGUCGGAUGUGAAAUCCCCGGGCUCAACCUGGGAACUGCAUUCGAAACUGGCAGGCUAGAGUCUUGUAGAGGGGGGUAGAAUUCCAGGUGUAGCGGUGAAAUGCGUAGAGAUCUGGAGGAAUACCCGUGGCGAAGGCGGCCCCCUGGACAAAGACUGACGCUCAGGUGCGAAAGCGUGGGGAGCAAACAGGAUUAGAUACCCGUGUAGUC